rnacentral:rRNA from 1 species
GACGAACGCUGGCGGCGUGCUUAACACAUGCAAGUCGAACGGAAAGACCCUGCUUUUGUGGGGUGCUCGAGUGGCGAACGGGUGAGUAACACGUGAGUAACCUGCCCUUGACUUUGGGAUAACUUCAGGAAACUGGGGCUAAUACCGGAUAGGAGCUCCUGCUGCAUGGUGGGGGUUGGAAAGUUUCGGCGGUUGGGGAUGGACUCGCGGCUUAUCAGCUUGUUGGUGGGGUAGUGGCUUACCAAGGCUUUGACGGGUAGCCGGCCUGAGAGGGUGACCGGCCACAUUGGGACUGAGGUACGGCCCAGACUCCUACGGGAGGCAGCAGUGGGGAAUAUUGCACAAUGGGCGGAAGCCUGAUGCAGCAACGCCGCGUGCGGGAUGACGGCCUUCGGGUUGUAGACCGCUUUCGCCUGUGACGAAGCGUGAGUGACGGUAAUGGGUAAAGAAGCACCGGCUAACUACGUG